AGGAGUUUAGGUUAGCCUAGACCAAGAGCCUUCAAAGCCCUAAGCAAGUACAAUAUACUUAACUCCUG
rnacentral:tRNA from 3 species